rnacentral:rRNA from 1 species
AAAGGAAAGAGCCCAGAGCCUACAGUAUAGGUCCCAAGGUGUGUUUUUAAGUGAAAAAGAAUUUGGGAUUUAAGGACAAAUUAGGAUGUUGGUUAGGAAGCAGCCCCACUUUCCAAGAUGGCGUAAUAGCUCACUAGUCGAGAGGUCUUGCGCCGAAAUGUCCGGGGCUAAAACACAACACCGAAGCUUAGGAAUGUAGUAAUACAUUNGUAGAGGAGCAUUCUUAAAGGGAAGAAAGCAGUACCGAUAAGGAGCUGUGGACAUUUUAAAAGAGAGAAUGCCGAAAUGAGUAGCGAGAUGGAGGUGGGAUUCCUCCAGGCCGAAUAUCCAAGGUUUCCAGAGUAAAGCUGAUCUGCUCUGGGUAAGUCGGGGCCUAAGGUAAGGCUGAGAAGCGUAGCCGAUGGACAACAGGUUGAGAUUCCUGUACCGCGUAUCAUCAGAACUGUGGGGACACAGAAGGACAGCACAGCCCGGGAAUGGAAAGACCGGGGCAAGCAGGGUAGGAGUUAAGCAGGCAAAUCCGCUUAGCAAUCCGAAGCUGUGAUGCGGAGCGAAAUAAAGUAGCGAAGUGUGCGAUUCCGGCUGUCAAGAAAAGCCGCUAUUGUGUGAUACGUGCCCGUACCGUAAACCGACACAGGUAGAUGAGGAGAGAAUCCUAAGGCCGGCGGGAGAAGCAUUGUUAAGGAACUCGGCAAAAUGACCCUGUAACUUCGGGAGAAAGGGUGCCUGGGAAACCAGGCCGCAGAGAAUAGGCUCAAGCAACUGUUUAGCAAAAACACAGGUCUAUGCAAAACCGUAAGGUGAGGUAUAUGGGCUGACGCCUGCCCGGUGCUGGAAGGUUAAGAGGAGAGGUUAGAGCAAUCGAAGCUUUGAAUUGAAGCCCCAGUAAACGGCGGCCGUAACUAUAACGGUCCUAAGGUAGCGAAAUUCCUUGUCGGGUAAGUUCCGACCCGCACGAAAGGCGUAAUGAUUUGAGCGCUGUCUCGACAAUGCACCCGGUGAAAUUGAAAUACCAGUGAAGAUGCUGGUUACCCGCGCCAGGACGGAAAGACCCCAUGGAGCUUUACUCCAGCUUGAUACUGGGAUUCGGUACUGCAUGUACAGGAUAGGUGGGAGACUGUGAAUCAUGGACGCCAGUCUGUGAGGAGUCACUGUUGGGAUACCACCCUUGCGGUAUUGGAUUUCUAACCUGCAGCCGUGACCCGGCUGGGGGACAAUGUCAGGCGGGGAGUUUGACUGGGGCGGUCGCCUCCGAAAGGGUAUCGGAGGCGCUCAAAGGUUCCCUCAUAAUGGUUGGAAACCAUUAGAAGAGUGCAAAGGCAUAAGGGAGCUUGACUGCGACACCGACGGGUGGAGCAGGUAGGAAACUAGGACUUAGUGAUCCGGUGGUAUGAAAGUGGGAUUGCCAUCGCUCAACGGAUAAAAGCUACCCUGGGGAUAACAGGCUUAUCACUCCCAAGAGUUCACAUCGACGGAGUGGUUUGGCACCUCGAUGUCGGCUCAUCGCAUCCUGGGGCUGUAGCAGGUCCCAAGGGUUGGGCUGUUCGCCCAUUAAAGCGGUACGCGAGCUGGGUUCAGAACGUCGUGAGACAGUUCGGUCCCUAUCCGGCGUGGGCGAAGGAUAUUUGAGAGGAGCUGUCCUUAGUACGAGAGGACCGGGAUGGACGGGCCGCUGGUGUACCUGUUGGAGUGCCAACUCCAUGGCAGGGUAGCCAAGCCCGGACGGGAUAAACGCUGAAGGCAUCUAAGCGUGAAGCCCCCCUCAAGAUGAGAUAUCCCAUACGCAGGUAGUAAGACCCCUUGAAGACGACAAGGUAGAUAGGUCAGAGGUGGAAGUGCGGUGACGCAUGAAGCUGACUGAUACUAAUCGGUCGAGGGCUUGACCAA